AAAAGAUGCGGCCCUGCAAACUGAAGAAAGAAGACGAUUGAAAGAGAAGACCAUCUUCUCAAAAGAACUGAAGAAGAUCAGAAGAACUGAAGAAGGAUUUGGCUUAUGCGUAAGUAGAGUAGUAGGAGUCAAUAUCAAAGGUUGGAACAGGUUUCCGUCUUGUGGAUUAGAGACUAUAGAGGCUAGCUAGAAGGCUAGAAGGAUUACUUGAUUGAUUUGAAUGCUAACUGUAAUAGAUUGAAUUUGUGAUGGCUCAUAGUGUUGGUACUAGUUCUUCAAGAGUUUCUAAUACAACAAGAACUACUCUAACGACAAAUACCCCAACACAAGAAAGUUAUGAAAUACUAUGGAGACUGGCUUUGUCGGAUGUUGGUUGAGAAUAUGGAUUUUGUGAGGAUCAUAAUGAGAGAAAUGUGGUUACUUACACAUUGUGUAACAAAAGAGAUAAUAUUGUGGAAUAACUCGAUUAAAAGAGCAAAUAGCCAAUGUAUCCAAUGUAUUUUGAAGUA